rnacentral:rRNA from 1 species
UACAGAGGUCCCAAGCGUUACUGAGAAUCACUGGGUUUAAAGGGUGCGUAGGUGGUCCGUUAAGUCAGUUGUGAAAUCCCCGGGCCUCAACCCGGGAAAUGCUUCUGAUACUGGCGGACUUGAGGCCAGUAGGGGUCACUAGAACUGACGGUGGAGCGGUGAAAUGCGUAGAUAUCGUCAGGAAUGCCGGUGGUGAAGACGGGUGACUGGGCUGGUUCUGACACUGAGGCACGAAAGCGUGGGGAGCGAACGGG